rnacentral:rRNA from 1 species
GAUGAACGCUGGCGGCGUGCUUAACACAUGCAAGUCGAACGGUGAAGGCGGAGCUUGCUCUGCUGGAUCAGUGGCGAACGGGUGAGUAACACGUGAGCAAUCUGCCCCUGACUCUGGGAUAAGCGCUGGAAACGGCGUCUAAUACUGGAUACGAGCUGCGCAGGCAUCUUCAGCAGCUGGAAAGAACUUCUGUCAGGGAUGAGCUCGCGGCCUAUCAGCUUGUUGGUGAGGUAACGGCUCACCAAGGCGUCGACGGGUAGCCGGCCUGAGAGGGUGACCGGCCACACUGGGACUGAGACACGGCCCAGACUCCUACGGGAGGCAGCAGUCGGGAAUAUUGCACAAUGGGCGAAAGCCUGAUGCAGCAACGCCGCGUGGGGGACGACGGCCUUCGGGUUGUAAACCUCUUUUAGCAGGGAAGAAGCGAAAGUGACGGUACCUGCAGAAAAAGCGCCGGCUAACUACGUG